rnacentral:rRNA from 1 species
AGAGUUUGAUCCUGGCUCAGGAUGAACGCUGGCGGCGUGCCUAAUACAUGCAAGUCGAGCGAACCACUUCGGUGGUGAGCGGCGAACGGGUGAGUAACACGUAGGUUAUCUGCCCAUCAGACGGGGACAACGAUUGGAAACGAUCGCUAAUACCGGAUAGGACGAAAGUUUAAAGGUGCUUCGGCACCACUGAUGGAUGAGCCUGCGGCGCAUUAGCUAGUUGGUAGGGUAAAGGCCUACCAAGGCGACGAUGCGUAGCCGACCUGAGAGGGUGAACGGCCACACUGGGACUGAGACACGGCCCAGACUCCUACGGGAGGCAGCAGUAGGGAAUCUUCGGCAAUGGGCGAAAGCCUGACCGAGCAACGCCGCGUGAAUGAUGAAGGCCUUCGGGUUGUAAAAUUCUGUUAUAAGGGAAGAAUGGCUCUAGUAGGAAAUGGCUAGAGUGUGACGGUACCUUAUGAGAAAGCCACGGCUAACUACGUGCCAGCAGCCGCGGUAAUACGUAGGUGGCGAGCGUUAUCCGGAAUUAUUGGGCGUAAAGAGCGCGCAGGUGGUUGAUUAAGUCUGAUGUGAAAGCCCACGGCUUAACCGUGGAGGGUCAUUGGAAACUGGUCAACUUGAGUGCAGAAGAGGGAAGUGGAAUUCCAUGUGUAGCGGUGAAAUGCGUAGAGAUAUGGAGGAACACCAGUGGCGAAGGCGGCUUCCUGGUCUGUAACUGACACUGAGGCGCGAAAGCGUGGGGAGCAAACAGGAUUAGAUACCCUGGUAGUCCACGCCGUAAACCCCGUAAGGUAAGUGUUGGGGGU